CAUGCGAUCAUGGGGCGCGCUCUGCGCGCACCGGCGGACGGCUCAGUAACACGUCGGUAACCUACCCUCGGGAGGGGGAUAACCCCGGGAAACUGGGGCUAAUCCCCCAUAGGCCUGAGGUACUGGAAGGUCCUCAGGCCGAAAGGGGCAUCUGCCCGCCCGAGGAUGGGCCGGCGGCCGAUUAGGUAGUUGGUGGGGUAACGGCCCACCAAGCCGAAGAUCGGUACGGGCCAUGAGAGUGGGAGCCCGGAGAUGGACACUGAGACACGGGUCCAGGCCCUACGGGGCGCAGCAGGCGCGAAACCUCCGCAAUGCGGGCAACCGCGACGGGGGGACCCCCAGUGCCGUGGCAUCGCCACGGCUUUUCCGGAGUGUAAAAAGCUCCGGGAAUAAGGGCUGGGCAAGGCCGGUGGCAGCCGCCGCGGUAAUACCGGCGGCCCGAGUGGUGGCCGCUAUUAUUGGGCCUAAAGCGUCCGUAGCCGGGCCCGUAAGUCCCUGGCGAAAUCCCACGGCUCAACCGUGGGGCUUGCUGGGGAUACUGCGGGCCUUGGGACCGGGAGAGGCCGGGGGUACCCCUGGGGUAGGGGUGAAAUCCUAUAAUCCCAGGGGGACCGCCAGUGGCGAAGGCGCCCGGCUGGAACGGGUCCGACGGUGAGGGACGAAGGCCAGGGGAGCGAACCGGAUUAGAUACCCGGGUAGUCCUGGCUGUAAAGGAUGCGGGCUAGGUGUCGGGCGAGCUUCGAGCUCGCCCGGUGCCGAAGGGAAGCCGUUAAGCCCGCCGCCUGGGGAGUACGGCCGCAAGGCUGAAACUUAAAGGAAUUGGCGGGGGAGCACUCACAAGGG
rnacentral:rRNA from 1 species